AACAUCGCGCACCUGCGGGAACCUGCGGAGGGAUCAUUACUGAGUCACGUGCUCAAACAACCCUUCUGUGGACCUGGAAUAAAACCGUUGCCUCGGCGGGCGGUCCCCCCCAAACCAACCCCACGUGGUGGGUUAGGGGAGACCAGACAGUCCGGUACGCUUAAGGCGUCCGGCGCCAGCCGCUGGCCCCAAACAAUUAAACUCUAGUAAUCUUUACCUUCUGAGUUUCAAUAUUUAAAA
rnacentral:misc_RNA from 1 species